rnacentral:rRNA from 2 species
UGAAGCCCUUCGGGGUGGAUUAAGUGGCGAACGGGUGAGUAACACGUGGGCAAUCUGCCCUGCACUCUGGGACAAGCCCUGGAAACGGGGUCUAAUACCGGAUAUGACCAUCUUGGGCAUCCUUGAUGGUGUAAAGCUCCGGCGGUGCAGGAUGAGCCCGCGGCCUAUCAGCUUGUUGGUGAGGUAGUGGCUCACCAAGGCGACGACGGGUAGCCGGCCUGAGAGGGCGACCGGCCACACUGGGACUGAGACACGGCCCAGACUCCUACGGGAGGCAGCAGUGGGGAAUAUUGCACAAUGGGCGAAAGCCUGAUGCAGCGACGCCGCGUGAGGGAUGACGGCCUUCGGGUUGUAAACCUCUUUCAGCAGGGAAGAAGCGAAAGUGACGGUACCUGCAGAAGAAGCGCCGGCUAACUACGUGCCAGCAGCCGCGGUAAUACGUAGGGCGCAAGCGUUGUCCGGAAUUAUUGGGCGUAAAGAGCUCGUAGGCGGCUUGUCACGUCGGUUGUGAAAGCCCGGGGCUUAACCCCGGGUCUGCAGUCGAUACGGGCAGGCUAGAGUUCGGUAGGGGAGAUCGGAAUUCCUGGUGUAGCGGUGAAAUGCGCAGAUAUCA